rnacentral:misc_RNA from 1 species
GAACUACUGCAUCAAGAUGGCCUGUACGCACGAUUGACUAGAAGACAGGCUGAUGCUGUGGNAUACUGCUUUCACAUGUUCGAUAUUAUUUCCUUUAAAUCAUACUUCAUAUAUCGUAUUGGGGCUGAAGGAGCCUUUCAACUGCUGACUCGUGCAUUCCUCACAUUCUACCAAAAAUGAAAUGAAAUGUCUUGGGAUGAGAAAGCUGACAACAAAGGAAUCACUAAAGCAAUUUCUUCAUUCUCUAUCAGUGUGAUGUGGAGUAUUCAACGCAGCACAAAACAAGAAUGUUCACCUU